rnacentral:rRNA from 1 species
CCUACGGGAGGCAGCAGUGGGGAAUAUUGCACAAUGGGGGAAACCCUGAUGCAGCGACGCCGCGUGAGUGAAGAAGUAUUUCGGUAUGUAAAGCUCUAUCAGCAGGGAAGAAAAUGACGGUACCUGAUUAAGAAGCCCCGGCUAACUACGUGCCAGCAGCCGCGGUAAUACGUAGGGGGCAAGCUUUAUCCGGAUUUACUGGGUGUAAAGGGAGCGUAGACGGCAGCACAAGUCUGGAGUGAAAUGCCUGGGCUUAACCCCGGAACUGCUUUUGAUACUGUGCAGCUAGAGUGCAGGAGAGGUAAGUGGAAUUCCUAGUGUAGCGGUGAAAUGCGUAGAUAUUAGGAGGAACACCAGUGGCGAAGGCGGCUUACUGGACUGUAACUGACGUUGAGGCUCGAAAGCGUGGGGAGCAAACAGGAUUAGAUACCCCGGUAGUC